rnacentral:rRNA from 1 species
GCUGGCGGCGUGCUUAACACAUGCAAGUCGCACGAGAACGCUUCAGCUUGCUGAAGUUAGUAAAGUGGCGCACGGGUGAGUAACGCGUGGGUAAUCUACCCUUGAAUUGGGGAUAACCCGCCGAAAGGCGGGCUAAUACCGAAUGACAUCUUGAAAACUUAUGUUUUCAGGAUCAAAGGUGGCCUCUACAUGUAAGCUAUUGUUUGGGGAUGAGCCCGCGUACCAUUAGCUUGUUGGUAGGGUAAUGGCCUACCAAGGCUACGAUGGUUAGCUGGUCUGAGAGGAUGAUCAGCCACACUGGAACUGACACACGGUCCAGACUCCUACGGGAGGCAGCAGUGAGGAAUUUUGCGCAAUGGGGGAAACCCUGACGCAGCAACGCCGCGUGAGUGAUGAAGGCUUUCGGGUCGUAAAGCUCUGUCAAGUGGGAAGAAAUCAUAUGGUGUUAAUACUGCCAUAUGUUGACGGUACCACUGAAGGAAGCACCGGCUAACUCCGUGCCAGCAGCCGCGGUAAUACGGGGGGUGCGAGCGUUAUUCGGAAUUACUGGGCGUAAAGAGCGCGUAGGCGGUCUUUUAAGUCAGGUGUGAAAGCCCGGGGCUCAACCCCGGAAGUGCACUUGAAACUAAGA